rnacentral:rRNA from 1 species
GAGCUUGCUCCUUCGACGUUAGCGGCGGACGGGUGAGUAACACGUGGGCAACCUACCUUAUAGUUUGGGAUAACUCCGGGAAACCGGGGCUAAUACCGAAUAAUCUGUUUCACCUCAUGGUGAAACACUGAAAGACGGUUUCGGCUGUCGCUAUAGGAUGGGCCCGCGGCGCAUUAGCUAGUUGGUGAGGUAACGGCUCACCAAGGCGACGAUGCGUAGCCGACCUGAGAGGGUGAUCGGCCACACUGGGACUGAGACACGGCCCAGACUCCUACGGGAGGCAGCAGUAGGGAAUCUUCCACAAUGGGCGAAAGCCUGAUGGAGCAACGCCGCGUGAGUGAAGAAGGAUUUCGGUUCGUAAAACUCUGUUGUAAGGGAAGAACAAGUACAGUAGUAACUGGCUGUACCUUGACGGUACCUUAUUAGAAAGCCACGGCUAACUACGUGCCAGCAGCCGCGGUAAUACGUAGGUGGCAAGCGUUGUCCGGAAUUAUUGGGCGUAAAGCGCGCGCAGGUGGUUUCUUAAGUCUGAUGUGAAAGCCCACGGCUCAACCGUGGAGGGUCAUUGGAAACUGGGAGACUUGAGUGCAGAAGAGGAUAGUGGAAUUCCAAGUGUAGCGGUGAAAUGCGUAGAGAUUUGGAGGAACACCAGUGGCGAAGGCGACUAUCUGGUCUGUAACUGACACUGA